UACAGAGGUGCCAAGCGUUGUUCGGAUUUACUGGGCGUAAAGGGCGCGUAGGCGGUCGUGACAAGUCACUUGUGAAAUCUCCGGGCUUAACUCGGAACGGUCAAGUGAUACUGUCGGACUAGAGUACAGAAGGGGCAACUGGAAUUCUCGGUGUAGCGGUGAAAUGCGUAGAUAUCGAGAGGAACACCUGCGGCGAAGGCGGGUUGCUGGGCUGAUACUGACGCUGAGGCGCGGAAAGCCAGGGGGAGCGAACGGG
rnacentral:rRNA from 1 species